GUGGGCGUGUUGGGUGUGUACAUGAGGAUGAGUGAAGCAUAUGAAACGAGGAUGCAGCCAGUUCACUGGCCUUUCUGCUGACUGCUGAGCAGAACCUAAUUAGGCAAUGUAGUGAGUCUGACUCACCGGACAGCUGAGAGGGUGGGGGGUAGAACUGCCCCUCCCACUGUUGUCAUAACGAGAGACAGAGAAACAGAGGGACAAAAACAGAGAUAGAGAGAGACAGAGAGACAGAGAGAGACAGAGAGACAGAGAGAGACAUACAGAGAUAGAGAGAGACAGAGAGAGAGAGAGAGAGAGGGAGAAGGCAGGUGACAUAAACAGCAAGAGGGAGUUAUGUACAUUGUUACGUUGUGCCAGUAAUGUCAUUUGAAUAUGAUGGAGAGAGAGUGGCAGGUAGAUACAGACACAAAAAACACACACACACACACACACAGAUAGGGAGGUAGAGACAGACACACACACACACACACACACAGAUAGGGAGGUAGAGACAGACACACACACACACACACACACACAGAUAGGGAGGUAGAGACAGACACACACACACAGAUAGGGAGGUAGAGACAGACACACACACACACACACACACAGAUAGGGAGGUAGAGACAGACACACACACACACAGAUUGGGAGGUAGAGACAGAGACACACACACACACACAGAUAGGGAGGUAGAGACACACACACACACACACACAGAUAGGGAGGUAGAGACAGACACACACACACACACACACACAGAUAGGGAGGUAGAGACAGACACACACACACACACAGAUUGGGAGGUAGAGACAGAGACACACACACACACACACACACAGAUAGGGAGGUAGAGACACACACACACACACACAGAUAGGGAGGUAGAGACAGACACACACACACACACACAGACAGAUAGGGAGGUAGAGACAGACACACACACACACACACACAGAUAGGGAGGUAGAGACACACACACAC
ensembl:lncRNA